rnacentral:rRNA from 1 species
UACAGAGGAUGCAAGCGUUAUCCGGAAUGAUUGGGCGUAAAGCGUCUGUAGGGGGCUUUUUAAGUCCGCCGUCAAAUCCCAGGGCUCAACUCUGGACAGGCGGUGGAAACUACCAAGCUGGAGUACGGUAGGGGCGGAGGGAAUUUCCGGUGGAGCGGUGAAAUGCGUAGAGAUCGGAAAGAACCCCAACGGCGAAAGCAAUCUGCUGGGCCGACACUGACACUGAGAGACGAAAGCUAGGGGAGCGAAUGGG